AGCCCAACAGCUAGCCUACCCCUACAAACUCAACAACCAAACAUUAAUAACCCCACAUGCACCAUAAAACUAAAACAAACCAUUUUUCCACUCUAGUAUAGGAGAUAGAAAAAGAUCAUAGAGCAAUAGAAAAAGUACCGCAAGGGAAAGCUGAAAGAGAAAUGAAACAAUCCAGUAAAGCUAAGAAAAGCAGAGACCACCCCUCGUACCUUUUGCAUCAUGAAUUAGCUAGCAACCCCAAGCAAAGAGAGCUUUAGUUUGAACCCCCGAAACUAAGUGAGCUACUCCAGGACAGCCUAUUAAAAGGGCACAUCCGUCUCUGUGGCAAAAGAGUGGAAAGAUCCUUGAGUAGAGGCGAUAAACCUACCGAACUUAGUUAUAGCUGGUUGCCUGAGAAAUGGAUAGAAGUUCAGCCCCCUAGCCUCUUCCCUCAAACUCGUACAACUAUACCCGACCCAAAGAGCGCUAUGGGAGUUAGUUACAGGGGGUACAGCCCCUGUAACACAAGAUACAACUUUAACAGGAGGAUUAAGAUCAAAUUCAAUAAGGACAUUAUGUUUAGGUGGGCCUAAAAGCAGCCACCCUGACCGAAAGCGUUAAAGCUCAAACAUCUAAUUUCCUAUAAUCCCGAUAACACAAAUCUAAAGCCCCUAAAAGUAUCAGGCCUUUCCAUGCAAGCAUGGAAUCAAUCAUGCUAAUAUGAGUAAUAAGGAAGUACCGACUUCCUCCAAGCACAAGUGUACAUCAGAACGAACCCCCACCGAAAAUUAACGGCCCCAGCCAAUAGAGGGAAAUGACAGCUAUAAAAAUCACAAGAAAAAUGCUCAAACAAAUAACCGUUAACCCCACACUGGAGUGCCCCUAAGGAAAAACUAAAAGGAAAAGAAGGAACUCGGCAAACACAAGCCUCGCCUGUUUACCAAAAACAUCGCCUCUUGCAAAAUAUAUGAAUAAGAGGUCCUGCCUGCCCUGUGACUAUACGUUUAACGGCCGCGGUAUUUUGACCGUGCGAAGGUAGCGCAAUCACUUGUCUCUUAAAUGGGGACCUGUAUGAAUGGCAUAACGAGGGUUUAACUGUCUCCUUUUCCAAGUUAAUGAAAUUGAUCCCCCCGUGCAGAAGCGGGGAUAAAGACAUAAGACGAGAAGACCCUAUGGAGCUUUAGGCAACAAGCAGACCGUAACAAACAUCCCUCAUAAAGGAACAAGACAUACGAAACCUGACCCAAUGCCUUUGGUUGGGGCGACCGCGGGGAAACAAGAAACCCCCAUGUGGAAUGGGACCACCAAUCCUCCAAACAAGAGCCUCCGCUCUAAAAAACAGAAUAUCUGACCUAUAAGAUCCGGCAAAGCCGAUCAACGAACCGAGUUACCCUAGGGAUAACAGCGCAAUCUCCUUAUAGAGUCCAUAUCGACAAGGAGGUUUACGACCUCGAUGUUGGAUCAGGAUAUCCUAAUGGUGCAACCGCUAUUAAGGGUUCGUUUGUUCAACGAUUAAAAUCCUACGUGAUCUGAGUUCAGACCGGAGUAAUCCAGGUCGGUUUCUAUCUAUGAUGCAAUCCUUUUUCAGUACGAAAGGACCAAAAAGAAGAGGCCCCUGUCAAAAACACGCCUCACCCCAACUCGCUGCAUCCAACUUAAGCGAACAAUGGGACGCCCAACCUAGUUAAAGAAUAUAACAU
rnacentral:rRNA from 1 species